CCAGACUCCUACGGGAGGCAGCAGUGGGGAAUAUUGCACAAUGGGGGGAACCCUGAUGCAGCGACGCCGCGUGGGUGAAGGAGUACUUCGGUACGUAAAGCCCUAUCAGCAGGAAAGAAAAUGACGGUACCUGACUAAGAAGCCCCGGCUAACUACGUGCCAGCAGCCGCGGUAAUACGUAGGUGGCAAGCGUUGUCCGGAUUUACUGGGUGUAAAGGGCGUGUAGCCGGGCCGGCAAGUCAGAUGUGAAAUCCCAUGGCUCAACCUUGGAACUGCAUUUGAAACUGUUGGUCUUGAGUAUCGGAGAGGCAGGCGGAAUUCCUAGUGUAGCGGUGAAAUGCGUAGAUAUUAGGAGGAACACCAGUGGCGAAGGCGGCCUGCUGGACGACAACUGACGGUGAGGCGCGAAAGCGUGGGGAGCAAACAGGAUUAGAUACCCGCGUACCA
rnacentral:rRNA from 1 species